UCUCCCGGUGCAGCGUCGCUCGCACUCCCCGCGUCCUGCAGGCCCAACAUGGCGCAGGAGGUGUCGGAGUACUUGAGCCAGAACCCGCGGGUGGCCGCCUGGGUGGAGGCCCUACGCUGCGAGGGCGAGACUGACAAACACUGGCGCCACCGCUGGGAGUUUUUGCUCCGCAAUGCCGGGGACCUGGCCCCCGCGGGCGGCGCUGCCUCCGCGACGGAGGAUGGUGGGGACGCCGAGGGCGGGACCCGCAACCGGCAGCUGCAGCAGCUUGUGUCGUUCUCCAUGGCCUGGGCCAACCAUGUCUUCCUUGGGUGCCGGUACCCUCAAAAAGUUAUGGAUAAAAUUCUUAGUAUGGCUGAAGGCAUCAAAGUGACAGAUGCUCCAAUCCAUACAACAAGAGACGAACUGGUUGCCAAGAAGGGGUAGAAGAGCCAUCCAAAAAGCGAAUCAUAGAAGGAAAAAACAAUUCUGCAGUUGAGCGAGAUGGAAAAAUUUCUGCUAAAACUGAACGGACAUCAGCUCAGCAGGAAAACAGUUCAACAUGUACGGGGUCAUCCACCAAAUCGGAGAGUAGUGGGAACUCAUCUCGGAGCUCUGGCAUCUCCAGUCAGAAUAGCCCUACAAGUGAUGGAGAUCGAUCUGUUUCCAGCCAAAGUGGCAGCAGCAUUUCCUCUCAGGUAACAACAGCAGGGUCUGGAAAAGCUGAAUCAGAAGCUCCAGAUAAACAUGGUUCAGCAUCACUUGUUUCUUCCUUGUUGAAAUCCAGUGUGAAUAGUCAUGUUACUCAAUCCACUAAUUCCAGACAGCAAAGUGGAUCACCUAAAAAGAGUGCUUUGGAAAGUUCUUCGGUCUCAGCUUCUCAGAGCAGCUCAGAGAUUGAGGUGCCCUUGUUGGGCUCCUCUGGCAGCUCAGAAGUAGAGUUGCCAUUAUUAUCUUCUAAACCUAGUUCAGAGACAGCUUCAAGUGGGUUAACUUCCAAAACUAGUUCAGAGGCAAGCGUUUCAUCAUCGGUUUCUAAAAACAGUUCCUCAUCAGGCACAUCAUUACUAACUCCCAAGAGCAGCUCAACAAAUACAUCAUUGCUAACUUCCAAAAGCACUUCACAGGUAGCUGCAUCACUGUUAGCUUCCAAAAACAGCUCCCAGACCAGUGGAUCUCUGGUUUCCAAAAGCACUUCCUUAGCAAGUGUGUCCCAGCUAGCGGCUAAGAGUAGUUCUCAGAGUAGCACUUCACAGUUGCCUUCUAAAAGUACGUCACAGUCAAGUGAGAGUUCUGUCAAAUUCUCUUGUUGCAAGUUAACCAAUGAAGAUGUGAAACAGAAGCAGCCUUUCUUCAAUAGACUGUAUAAAACUGUGGCAUGGAAAUUAGUAGCAGUCGGUGGCUUUAGUCCCAAUGUGAAUCAUGGAGAGCUCCUAAAUGCAGCUAUCGAGGCUCUGAAAGCAACACUGGAUGUGUUUUUCGUCCCAUUAAAAGAACUGGCAGAUCUGCCUCAAAAUAAAAGCUCUCAAGAAAGUAUUGUUUGUGAAUUAAGGUGUAAGUCUGUGUAUUUGGGCACUGGAUGUGGAAAAAGCAAAGAAAAUGCAAAAGCAGUUGCAUCAAGAGAAGCACUGAAGUUAUUUCUCAAGAAAAAGGUGGUGGUAAAAAUAUGUAAAAGGAAAUACAGAGGCAGUGAGAUAGAAGAUCUGGUACUCCUUGAUGAAGAAUCAAGACCUGUAAACUUGCCUCCAGCAUUAAAACAUCCUCAAGAAUUACUAUAAUAUGUUCAAAAUAGCACUGCACACAGUAUCUGGUAUUUGAAGAGAAAAAACUGGCUUACUUUUGUACAC